UAAUUCCCCACAUUUAAUAAUCAUCGUUUAUGGUAUGGACUACGAGGGUAUCUAAUCCUCUUCGCUACCCAUACUUUCGUAUCUCAGCGUCAGUAAUGAUCCAGAAAGCCGCCUUCGCAACUGGUGUUCUACAUAAUAUCUACGAAUUUCACCUCUACACUAUGUAUUCCGCUUUCCUCUAUCAUACUCCAGCUAAAUAGUUUUAAUUGCAGUUCCAAAGUUAAGCUUUGGGCUUUCACAAUUAACUUAUCUAGCCGCCUACAUACUCUUUACGCCCAGUAAUUCCGAACUACGCUAGGUCCCUUCGUAUUACCGCGGCUGCUGGCACGAAGUUAGCCGGACCUUAUUCUUCGGGUACAGUCAUUAUCUUUCCCGACAAAAGAGCUUUACAACCCAAAGGCCUUCUUCACUCACGCGGCAUCGCUGCAUCAGGCUUUCGCCCAUUGUGCAAGAUUCCCCACUGCUGCCUCCCGUAGGAGUCUGGGCCGUAUCUCAGUCCCAGUGUGGCUGAUCAUCCUCUCAAAUCAGCUAUUGAUUAUAGCCUUGGUGAGCUUUUACCUCACCAACAAGCUAAUCAAAUGCGGGCUCAUCUUUUGGCAUUAAAACUUUCUCCGUUAGGACUUAUCCGGUAUUAGCACAGGUUUCCCCAUGUUGUUCCGAACCAAAAGGCAGAUUCCCACAUGUUACGCACCCGUCUGCCGCUAGGUAUUGCUACCCCGCUCGACUUGCAUGUGUUAGGCGUGCCGCCAGCGUACGUUCUGAGCCAGGAUCAAACUCU
rnacentral:rRNA from 1 species